AACGAACGCUGGCGGCGUGGAUUAGGCAUGCAAGUCGAACGAGAAAAGUUUCUUCGGAAGCUUAGUAAAGUGGCAAACGGGUGAGUAACGCGUGGGAAACUUACCUUUUAGUUGGGGAUAACACUUCUAACGAAGUGCUAAUACCGAAUAAGAUCUUUCCAUCGCAUGAUGGAUUGAUGAAAGAUGGCCUCUGUUUCAAGCUAUCGCUGAAAGAUGGUCCCGCGUCCCAUUAGCUUGUUGGUGAGGUAACGGCUCACCAAGGCUUCGAUGGGUAGCCGGCCUUAGCGGGUGACCGGCCACACUGGGACUGAGAUACGGCCCAGACUCCUACGGGAGGCAGCAGUCGAGAGGCAUCCACAAUGGGGGAAACCCUGAUGGUGCGACGCCGCGUGGGUGAUGAAGGUUUUCGGAUCGUAAAGCCCUUUCAGCAAGGACGAACGUGCCGGGUGUUAAUACCAUCCGGCAAAAGAC
rnacentral:rRNA from 1 species